GGUAAGGUAGCUCAGCCGGUUAGAGCGCUGGUCUCAUAAGCCGGAGGUCGAGGGUUCGAGUCCCUCUCUUACUACCA
rnacentral:tRNA from 1 species